UACGUAGGUGGCAAGCGUUGUCCGGAAUUACUGGGCGUAAAGGGCUCGUAGGCGGCCAACUAAGUCGGAUGUGAAAUCCCCAGGCUCAACCUGGGAACUGCAUCCGAUACUGGAUGGCUUGAAUCCGGGAGAGGGAUGCAGAAUUCCAGGUGUAGCGGUGAAAUGCGUAGAUAUCUGGAGGAAUACCGGUGGCGAAGGCGGCAUCCUGGACCGGCAUUGACGCUGAGGAGCGAAAGCUAGGGGAGCAAACGGG
rnacentral:rRNA from 1 species